GAAAUGCGAUAAGUAAUGCGAAUUGCAGAAUCCAGCGAGUCAUCGAAUCUUUGAACGCACAUUGCGCCCGCCAGCACUCUGGCGGGCAUGCCUGUCCGAGCGUCACCAGCAAACCCGUCAAGCCCGGCUUGUGUUGGGGGCCCGCGGCCGCCGCGGCCCCCGAAAUCCAGUGGCGAGGCCCCGCCGCGCCGAGCGCAGUAGACCCUGCCCGCUCCGGCGCGCGCGGGCGCCCCCCGCCGUAAAACGCCCCACAACGCAGAAUUGACCUCGGAUCAGGUAGGAAUACCCGCUGAACUUAA
rnacentral:misc_RNA from 1 species